AUUGAACGCUGGCGGCAGGCCUAACACAUGCAAGUCGAACGCGUGGCGGACGGGUGAGUAAUGUCUGGGAAACUGCCUGAUGGAGGGGGAUAACUACUGGAAACGUUAGCUAAUCCCUCAUACCAUCGGAUGUGCCCCUAUGGGAUUAGCUAGUCGGUGGGGUAAAGGCUCACCUAGGCGACGAUCCCUAGCUGGUCUGAGAGGAUGACCAGCCACACUGGAACUGAGACACGGUCCAGACGCCUACGGGAGGCAGCAGUGGGGAAUAUUGCACAAUGGGCGCAAGCCUGAUACAGCCAUGCCGCGUGUAUGAAGAAGGCCUUCGGGUUGUAAAGUACUGUCAGCGGGGAGGCGUUACCCGCAGAAGAAGCACCGGCUAACUCCGUGCCAGCAGCCGCGGUAAUUC
rnacentral:rRNA from 1 species